rnacentral:rRNA from 1 species
AUAGUUUGAUGCUGGCUCAGAAUCAACGCUGGCGGCGUGCCUAACACAUGCAAGUCGAACGAGAAAGUGAAGCUUGCUUCACAAGUAAAGUGGCAAACGGGUGAGUGACACGUGAACAAUCUACCCUCGAGCGGGGAAUAACAUCGCGAAAGCGGUGCUAAUACCGCAUAACAUCUCAGGGUCGCAUGGCCUGGAGAUCAAAAGCGCAAGUUGCUUGAGGAGGAGUUCGCGCCUGAUUAGCUAGUUGGUGAGGUAACGGCUCACCAAGGCUCCGAUCAGUAGCCGGCCUGAGAGGGCGAACGGCCACACUGGAACUGAGACACGGUCCAGACUCCUACGGGAGGCAGCAGUGGGGAAUUUUGCGCAAUGGGCGAAAGCCUGACGCAGCAACGCCGCGUGGAGGAUGAAGGCCCUCGGGUCGUAAACUCCUGUCAGUGGGGAAGAAUGCUUCGCAAGAAGUUUGACUGUACCCAUUGAGGAAGCCACGGCUAACUCCGUGCCAGCAGCCGCGGUAAUACGGAGGUGGCAAGCGUUGUUCGGAAUUACUGGGCGUAAAGGGCGCGUAGGCGGCUUGGCAAGUCAGAUGUGAAAGCCCCGGGCUUAACCCGGGAAAUGCAUCUGAAACUGCUUUGCUUGAGUCCUGGAGGGGAUAGUGGAAUUCCCAGUGUAGCGGUGAAAUGCGUAGAUAUUGGGAGGAACACCUGCGGCGAAGGCGGCUAUCUGGACAGUGACUGACGCUGAUGCGCGAAAGCUAGGGGAGCGAACGGGAUUAGAUACCCCGGU